AGUCUGGUGCCAGCAGCCGCGGUAAUUCCAGCUCCAAAAGCAUAUAUUAAAGUUGUUGCGGUUAAAAAGCUCGUAGUUGGAUCCAUGACCUCGGAGGGCGGUCCCCUACUGGGUGCGUACUGCUGCUCCGGGUCCUAUCUGUCAGUUUGUCUGUGUUGCCUUUAAUCGGGUGGCACAGGUGACUGACGUGUUUACUUUGAAAAAAUUAGAGUGUUUAAAGCAGGCGUUGAAUGCCUGAAUAGUAGUGCAUGGAAUAAUGGAAUAGGAUCUCGGUUCUAUUUUGUUGGUUCAAGAGCAUGAGAAGAUGAUUAAGAGGGACAGACGGGGGCAUUUGUAUUGCUGCGUUAGAGGUGAAAUUCUUGGAUCGUAGCAAGACAAACUACUGCGAAGGCAUUUGCCAAGAAUGUUUUCAUUAAUCAAGAACGAAAGUUAGAGGUUCGAAGGCGAUCAGAUACCGCCCUAGUUCUAACCGUAAACCAUGUCGACUAGCUAUCUGUCAGCGUUAAUAAUGACCUGACAGGCAGCUUACCGGAAACGAAAGUUUCUCGAUUCCGGGGGUAGUAUGGUUGCAAAGCUGAAACUUAAAGGAAUUGACGGAAGGGCACCACCAGGAGUGGAGCCUGCGGCUUAAUUUGACCCAACACGGGAAAACUCACCCGGCCCGGACACCGUAAGGAUUGACAGAUUAAUAGCUCUUUCUCGAUUUGGUGAUUGGUGGUGCAUGGCCGUUCUUAGUUGGUGGAGCGAUUUGUCUGGUUAAUUCCGAUAACGAACGAGAUUCUAACUUACUAACUAGUUCCACGAUCCUUGUGGUCCUAAAUACUUCUUAGAGGGAAAACCGGCAUUUAGUCGAACGAGAUUGAGCAAUAACAGGUCUGUGAUGCCCUUAGAUGUCCGGGGCUGCACGCGUGCUACACUGAAGGAAUCAGCGUGUUUUUCCCUUGCCUGUAAUGGCUGGGUAACCGACUGAAUCUCCUUCGUGCUAGGGAUAGAUCAUUGAAACUAGUGAUCUUCAACUUGGAAUUCCUGGUACGUUUGAGUCAUAAGCUCAAGCAGAUUACGUCCCUGCCCUUUGUACACACCGCCCGUCGCUACUACCGACUGGCAAUAUCUUUGAGACACUUGGAGCGGCCGUGAGCUACCCUAACCGGUAACUCACGGCUGCGAAAAGGUU
rnacentral:rRNA from 1 species